UCAUAAACGUUAUCCUCAUGUUGGAAAAGAAAAACGGCACAGAGAUCCAACAAAGAAAGUUGUAAUAGAUGAAAACACAAUCGAGAGCAAGUUUCGUUCUCAGUCAACUGUUAGAUUUCGUUAAAUUGAGUUCUAUAACAAUUUUAAGAUGUUUAGUGUGUACCAGUAUCUCUUUUUAGUGUGUGUCUUUUUUAGUGUGUAUCUCUUUGUGUGUUUGUGUGCGUGUGAACAGGGCUCUGUUUUAAUUUUAAAUUUAAAUUUUAAAA